rnacentral:rRNA from 1 species
AGGACGAACGCUGGCGGCGUGCUUAACACAUGCAAGUCGAGCGGAAAGGCCCUUCGGGGUACUCGAGCGGCGAACGGGUGAGUAACACGUGAGUAACCUGCCCCUAGCUUCGGGAUAGCUCCGGGAAACCGGAAUUAAUACCGGAUAUGACCACGGCCGACAUCGGCCACGGUGGAAAGAUUCAUCGGCUAGGGAUGGGCUCGCGGCCUAUCAGCUUGUUGGUGGGGUAACAGCCUACCGAAGGCGACG